rnacentral:rRNA from 1 species
UGGGACUGAGAUACGGCCCAGACUCCUACGGGAGGCAGCAGUAGGGAAUUUUGCGCAAUGGACGAAAGUCUGACGCAGCAACGCCGCGUGAGGGAUGACGGCCUUCGGGUUGUAAACCUCUGUUGAGUGGGAAGAAAAGCUUUGUGGUUAAUAUCCACAGAGUCUGACGGUACCACUCGAGGAAGCUCCGGCUAACUACGUGCCAGCAGCCGCGGUAAUACGUAGGGGGCUAGCGUUGUUCGGAAUCACUGGGCGUAAAGGGAGUGUAGGCGGACCGGUAAGUUAGGAGUUAAAUGUACGGGCUCAACCCGUGAUCUGCUUUUAAUACUGUCGGUCUUGAGUAUGGGAGAGGGAGAUGGAAUUCCAGGUGUAGCGGUGGAAUGCGUAGAUAUCUGGAAGAACACCAGUUGCGAAGGCGGUCUCCUGGACCAAUACUGACGCUGAUGCUCGAAAGCUGGGGGAGCGAACAGGAUUAGAUACCCUGGUAGUCCCAGCCGUAAACGAUGGACACUAGUUGCCGGAGGAGUCAAUCCCUUCGGUGACGAAGCUAACGCAUUAAGUGUCCCGCCUGGGGAGUACGCUCGCAAGGGUGAAACUCAAAGGAAUUGACGGGGGCCCGCACAAGCGGUGGAGCAUGUGCUUUAAUUCGAUGCAACGCGAAGAACCUUACCUGGGUUUGACAUGGGGGUGAAAGUUUCCAGAGAUGGAAGCCUUUCCUUCGGGAACACCCCACACAGGUGCUGCAUGGUUGUCGUCAGCUCGUGUCGUGAGAUGUUGGGUUAAGUCCCGCAACGAGCGCAACCCCUGCCCUUAGUUGCCAUCAGGUAAAGCUGGGAACUCUAAGGGGACAGCUUGGUAUAACCAGGAGGAAGGUGGGGAUGACGUCAAAUCAUCAUGGCUCUUACGCCCAGGGCUAGACACGUGCUACAAUGGCAGGUACAGUGGGAUGCCAGCCUGCGAAGGUGAGCUAAUCCCUUAAAACCUGUCUCAGUCCGGAUUGGAGUCUGCAACUCGACUCCAUGAAGUUGGAAUCGCUAGUAAUCGCGGAUCAGCAUGCCGCGGUGAAUACGUUCCCGGGCCUUGUACACACCGCCCGUCAAGCCAUGAAAGGCGGUAGUACCCGAAGUCGCGUACCCAACCGUAAGGAGGGAAGCGCCGAAGGUAAGA